rnacentral:rRNA from 1 species
UACAGAGGGUGCAAGCGUUAAUCGGAGUUACUGGGCGUAAAGGGCGCGUAGGCGGAUUGUUAAGUGAGUUGUGAAAUCCCUGGGCUUAACCUAGGAACUGCAACUUAUACUGAUAGUCUAGAGUACUGUAGAGGGUAGUGGAAUUUCCGGUGUAGCGGUGAAAUGCGUAGAGAUCGGAAGGAACACCAGUGGCGAAGGCGGCUACCUGGACAGAUACUGACGCUGAGGCGCGAGAGCGUGGGGAGCAAACAGG